rnacentral:rRNA from 1 species
GAUGAACGCUGGCGGCGUGCCUAAUACAUGCAAGUCGAGCGAACAGACGAUGAGCUUUCUCCUCUGACGUUAGCGGCUGACGGGUGAGUGACACGUGGAUAACCUACCUAUAAUACUGGGAUAACUUCGGGAAACCGGAGCUAAUACCGGAUAACAUGUUGAACCGCAUGGUUCAACAGUGAAAGACGGUCUUGCUGUCACUUAUAGAUGGAUCCGCGCCGCAUUAGCUAGUUGGUAAGGUAACGGCUUACCAAGGCAACGAUGCGUAGCCGACCUGAGAGGGUGAUCGGCCACACUGGAACUGAGACACGGUCCAGACUCCUACGGGAGGCAGCAGUAGGGAAUCUUCCGCAAUGGGCGCAAGCCUGACGGAGCAACGCCGCGUGAGUGAAGAAGGUCUUCGGAUCGUAAAACUCUGUUAUUAGGGAAGAAAAAAUGUGUAAGUAACUAUGCACGUCUUGACGGUACCUAAUCAGAAAGCCACGGCUAACUACGUG